GUGUUUGUGGCCGAUGGGCUCAUGUCCUGUUCCCUCAUCUGUGUUAUUUCAAAGCUCUUUCACUUCUUUUGCUGCGGAUCUGCAGGAGGUACAGAUAGUAUUGCGUGUGACUCUCACCACUAGGAACGUGCAAACCUGUUAAAACUGUAUUUGAUGACUGCUUGCACCUAAUUUUACCAAGCUGCAGCAUGCCCAGAGCAAACUCUUAAAGGCAAAUAGAAUCAUAAUUUCAUGCAAUAGGUGUAAGAGAACAACCCUUGACUUUGUCGAGUACACACACAGUCAAAAGUUAAGUUGUCUUUCAAGAAAACUCAAAUUAGAAGUUACAUUCUAGUACUGAUACCACUGUCUGUGAAGCGUAAAAUGGGUUAAAAUUAAGAACACCUAUUGCACAAGGAGAUGAACAUGUAAAAUAUAGACCAACCGAUGCACAGGCAAAUACAGACUCACAAAUUUAGAGUCGCACCAUUACCUCAAAACUUUGGUUCCACACGCUUUUUUUCCCCCCAAGUUGUUAUGUACUCUAAAAUUUCGGGACACUUAAUUGUAAUUGUAGGCAUGCACCAUUGCUGCGGCUGCUGCUGUAGCUCCCGCCCACAAUGCAUCAGGGGUUACACUCAUAUUUGAAUUUUAUAAACCCCAGCCCUUUGUACACACAAUCCCACUGCGUAAGCUGUUUAGACUCUGCCCUGGAGACUGACAGGUCCCCUACUCAAACAGAGGAGGCGCUGUUGUGCGUGGGUUUUUUUACCCUGCUGACUGAAGCUGUCCCUCCCCGGGCAGUCCCAUGGCCAAUUAUUCGGUGCUCAGCGUGUGCUCCUGCCCGUCGCCCGCACUGGCACGGUGCGGGUUUGAUUAGGCACCGCGGGGUUCUUCACUACAAAGGGCCCGUGCUUUAGCCGAACGAGUCAUGCGGGGAUCCGCCCGCUUUCGCGCCGGUGUGAACGCCACCGCUCUGUCUCCCUCUUUUCGACAGCUGCAUUGCUGCGGCAUUGGAGGAGUUUUGGAGCCCUUUGCACGAGAUACGUGUCCCAGUACCAAAGGCUUCCUUGACGCCCUGUCCAUACCCGCAUGUCCAAAGGUGAUCCAAAAGUUGUUCAAGACCAGAGCUCCAGUGGUUUUAGGGCUGCUUAUUGGAACAGGAGUUCUGAUGUUUGUUACCAUGGCGUGCUCCAGAGUUCUGAUGAAACACAUUAGAAAGUACGAAUCAGCUCCCAAACACUACAACUAACCACCGGUCCGUCAUGCUCCGGGCAAGAACACCAUCUUCAGGAUCUUCUUACGCCUCAUUCAGCAAGUUGCCCUCAGGUUUAACAGACACUUCCAUGCCAUGUUCUCCUUUAGAUUUUACCAACAAAGUCUAGAUGCCUUAAUUGUAAGCUUUUUUUUAACUGUUACGCUAUUUUACAUUAGUGAGUAAAUUAUAACCUGUGGACCAAGAAUACCAUAAUGUCGCUGCACAUGCACAAGCAUACUUUCCCUUGAAUUCUCAACGCCUUCUCAAUAUCCCACAGGAUAUUGAAAUUGCAGUUUUAGUCUUAAAUCUCAGUCAGGGUUAAUAAGAAGUUUUAAGACAGUGACACAUUUAUUAACUGUUGCCAGACCACAGUACAUUAAACUUUUUAAAUGGCUGGUGUACUUGCGGUUUGGAAUCAAUGCGUGGAUGUGACAGAGUCUGUCCUAUUUGAAUCAUCUACCUGAGGUGCGUUCAAAUUCAGCGAACAAGGCGAACGUUUGCAGACUAUUUAUAACUUUUUUCCGUUAGCUUUGUGUUCGCUGCGAACAUUUGCAAACAUAAGCAAACGGUCUGAAAAGGUAGUUUGCGGCGAACCAAAAUGGACGCUGGACUGAGGGAAAUGUUUCCAGAUGGGUAUUUCAAUUGAAGAUGCCGUUAAGUGUGAUCAGUUUUUUUAAUAAUGUUAUUGUUCGCUAGCUAGCUGUUGUUUUUUUAUAUCAUCGAUGAUCACAGAAGCGGCUGUGAGUACAAACGCUCUCAUCUAUGUUUAAUGCAAACAAUUUGGAACGUUCUUAAAAAGCCGUUCAAAUUGAACUGUUCAAAGAAAACAUGUUCGCCACGAACAUUCGCCUCUGUUCGCUGAAUUUGAACGCACCUCUGGUCUGCCACCCAAAACCCAGUGAAAUACAAACCAAAGUGGCGUGGUCCAUUCAGUUGGUCUACUCAUGAUACACCUCACCAAGAGUUAGCCAGCACGGCACUCAGGAAACUUAUGGUGAGAGAACCCCCCCCCCCCCAAGUUUGAAUUGCUUGUUUCUUGGUGGGGGGGGCGUGGUGUGUGAUCUUGCAGCAGCUUCUUUCUUCUGUAUUUUAAAUAGGAUGUGAAGCAGUAGAUGUAAACAUUUUCUUUAUAUGAUAACGACCUCUUUUUUUUUGUAAACUUUUUUGUAUUGCUAUGUUUUAUUUCUGUUUGGGUACCAAUGACUCAGGUUUGGACUUUUUAAAAUGUGUGUAUUUAGGGUAAGUAAAGCAUAAAACUUG